GCCUCCCUCCGCCGCCACUCACGACUACCGUACGGGACGGACGAGCGAGGUGGGGUAAGUUUUGGGUAACGUAAGUGGGGGACCGAACCCGUACGACUCCACGCCGACCGCCCGGCCGGUCGGAAGGGAGUAGGAAGGUCGUUCGGAUCGUAACUUCUUUAGUAGGGUAUGAAUGAGUUGGUGAAUAGACCAACUGUGACAGUACUCUUUGAAUAAGCCACGGCUAACUACGUGCCAGCAGCCGCGGUAAUUC
rnacentral:rRNA from 1 species